ACAUGCAAGUGGUAGGAAGCCGAAAGGUGACGACCCUUCGGGAGCUUGCACAGGUGCUGCAUGGCUGUCGUCAGCUCGUGUCGUGAGAUGUUCGGUUAAGUCCGCUAACGAGCGCAACCCUCGCUGUGUGUUAUAUGUGUCACACGGGACUGCCGGUCUUAAGCCGGAGGAAGGUGGGGAUGAUGUCAAGUCAGCAUGGCCUUUAUAUCCUGGGCUACACACACGCUACAAUGGCCAACACAAUAGGUUGCUAAGCCGCGAGGUGGCGCCAAUCCAUAAAGUUGGUCUCAGUUCAGAUUGUAGGCUGCAACCCGCCUGCAUGAAGUCGGAAUCGCUAGUAAUCGCAGGUCAGCAUACUGCGGUGAAUACGUUCCCGGGCCUU
rnacentral:rRNA from 1 species